CUCUCAGCCAGGCACAGUGGCUCACUCCUGUAAUUCCAACACUUUGGGAGGCCCAGGCAGUUAGAUGGCUUGAGCACAGGAGUUCGAGAUCAGCCUAGACAACAUGGCAAAACCCCAUCUCUACAAAAGAUACAAAAAUUAGCCAGGUGUGGUGGCACGCACCUGUAGUCCCAGCUACUCAGGAGGCUGAGGCAGGAGGAUGGCUUGAACCUGGGAGGCGGAGGUUGCAGUGAGCCGAGAUCAUGCCACUGCACUCCAGCCUGGGUGACAGAGCCAGGCCCUGUUUCAAAAAAAAAAAAAAAAUACUGAAGUGUAACAUAU
rnacentral:lncRNA from 1 species